AUUGUACUCCCUCCGUCCGGAAAUACUCGUCGGAGGAAUGGAUGUAUCUAGAUGUAUUUUAGUUCUUAGAUACAUUCAUUUUUAUGCAUUUUCGACGAGUAUGUCCGGACGGAGGGAGUACUAG
rfam:Triticum aestivum genome assembly, contig: Triticum_aestivum_CS42_TGACv1_scaffold_641271_T_5AS-0.153120_5BS-0.131540